AGAGUUCUCGAUGAUGAGAGUGAAGUGCGUCCAAACUCUGCUGUGUACUACAGUAUAUUUUCAAUUAACUGAAGAUUAUCAAUUUUUCCCAACUGUGUUGUAUUUUGGAUGAUUGUGGUUCGUGAUGCUCGUGUACUUUUUCUUUUGUGCAUACUGCUUUCCUAAGAUAUCGCUCACAUCUCCCAACUUUGUCUUGUGCAACAGUGAAAUUUGUUCUGUAAAAUUAUUCAUACAUAAACCCUAAUUCAAUUUUAAUAUUUUUGCAUGAAUGGUUAAAUAUUCUAAAAUACUAUGGUUAGAGAUAUUCAUAUUAAAGGUUUUUAGUUAAUUUAUUAUAAGGAUUUGUUAUGUUUUUCCUUCGAUUUAUUUAAGAUACUGUUCUCAGUAAUUUUUCGAAGUCUUAGGUGGUGGAUGGUGUUAUCUUAGAAUUCAUUAUUUUUGGAGUUGAUUUAUAUGCAUCAGUACUAUUAAUUGCUCCCUUACUUUACAUAGAAUGCAUGCGUAUUUAUGCUGGAAAACAACUAACAGAAUUUGUUGGUAUUCCUUGAUGUUAUAGCCGUAUACCAGAUAAUUUUGCUAUAUUUUGAGACUAGAUGCGUGAGUUAUUGCUGGGAGCUUUUCUUUCAUUUUAACUUGACCUGUUAAUGGUUUUAUUUGAUUCAGACUCAUCUGUUCAUACAGUUGUGAACAUGUUAAUGGUAUUUUGCAUAAAGGAGGAUUUUUUUACUAACUGGGUGAGAGUACUCGGUCAAUCUAGUGUUUAUUUUAUUUCCUAGUUUUGUUUAAGGAUUUCACGGUCAUUAUGUUAACUGUCAUAUGUAUUAAUUUUGCCAAGCUGUUUUCUAGUUUGGCUUUCAUUUUGUCUCUUACUUUUGCUAUAUUUCUCUAAUCAUUCAUAUCAUGACCAAUUUUCUGCAGCAAAAGGCUCUUGCAGCUUUGGAG
rnacentral:misc_RNA from 1 species